GAGAGGGAGCAGGAGAUGGGAGGGGUGCAUGUGGGAUGGACGUUAUGGGGGGGAAGCCAUUGUAAUCCAUAAGCUGUGCUUUGGAAAUUUAUAUUUACUAAAUAGAAGUUAAAAAAAAGAUGAAAGACAUUGCAGGGGCAAAAAAAAAAAAAAACCAACAAGUAUCACCACAGAUGCCUAAUAAUAAAUGCAGCAGUUCAAGAAACAAGACAACAUGACACCACGAAAAGAACACAACACUUCAAUCCUAGAAUGUGAAGGUGAAGAGAUUGAUGAAAUGCUAGAAACAGAAUUAAAAAAAUUGAUCAUAGGCUUACUUAUAAGUAAUCAGAAGCAAAUGCAUGAACUAAAGAAUUCCAUACAUGAUGUGAAUGAAAAUUUUCCCAUGAAAGUUAGAUUUUUAAAGAGAAAUCAAAACAAAAUAUGGGAAAUGAAGAAUUCAAUAGAAUAAAUAAAAUAUAUGAUGGAAAGCCAUAACAGAUUUGGUUGAAGUGGUGAGGCUGAAGAAAGAAUAUCUGAGUUAGAAAACAAAUCUCUGGAAAUUUUACAGUCAGACCAAAAACAAUGAGAAGAAAUCAGAAAAUGAAAAAACACUGUGGGAGAUCUACAGGAUACUAUCAAAUGACCCAACAUAAGGGUUUUAGGAGUUCCCAAAGGCAUGGAAAGAUUGAAUGGAUUAGAAGGCCUUUUUAGUGAAAUAAUUAUAGAAAACUUCUCUAAUUUGGAGAAAGAAAGGGACAUCAAGUACAGGGAGCACAUAGAACUUCUAAUAGAAAUGACCAGAAUAGAUCUUCACCAGGACACAUUAUAGUCAAACUCUCCACUGUAAAACAUAAAGAAAAGAUUCUAAAAUGUGAAUGAGAGAAAUGCCAGAUUACUUAUCAAGAGGAUCUUCAAUUAGAGUCACAGCUUGCUUCUCAUCAGAAACCUUAUAAGCUAGAAGAGAAUGGUGAGAUAUAUUCCAAGUCUUAAAAAAAAAAAACAACUUUCACCUAGAAUACAGUGAAAAGCUCCCAUUUAUGAAUGAAGGUGAGAGAUCUUCCAAAACAAAAGAACUUGUCACCGCUUGUCCAGCCUUACAAAAGAUGCUUAAGGAUGUGCUACAUAUAGAAACACAGAAAUAUAUUCAUCUCUGUGAAAGAAACUGAAGGCAGAAAAUCUCCCAGUAAAAGUACAAAGGAAAUUCAAAGUAAACUAUAAGAAUAUUUAUGGGAAAAUGGCAGGGGCAAGUAGGUACUUACCAAUAGUAACCUUGAAUGUAAAUUGCCUCAACUCUCCAUUUAAAAGAGAAUAAACAAAAUUGCCCAACUAAUCAAAAAAUGUGGGAGAAGGCAAAAAUCCAUAAAUUUAGAGAUAAAAAAGGAAAUGUCACAACAGACACCACAGAAAUAAAAAGAAUCACCAGAAAUUACUACAAAGAUAUGUAUGCCAACAAAUUGGGAAACUUUGAAAAUGGAUAGAUUCCUGGACAGUUAAACCUGCCUUACCAAUGCCAGCGCACUUGGUAAAGUGAUAAGUAUAAAAUCACAACCGAUCAAAAAGAUAGGGUAUGUGUUUAUAAGAUUUCACAAAUAAGACCAGUGUAAGCAAAUAAUGAAGGAUAGAAUUAAAAGGGAGAGAAUGAUCCUGCGGGGGAAACAGGACACACAGCAGACUCAUAGAAUGACAGCAUUCCUGCCUCAGAAUCAACCCUUGGGAUAUUCAGAUCUGGCUAAAAGGUCCAUGAGAGUCUCACAGGCAUGGAAAGCCAUGACACGGUGGCAAAAACAAUCUAAAUGAAAGAUCCUGGUGAACAAGACCCCAGCAGAAGGAACAGGCCAUAAAGGAGAGAGGCGCCUUUCUCUGAAGGGAGGAAGGGACCUCCACUGUGAUACGGCCUUGACUAAACAAGUUCAGAGUCAGUGAACUCAAGGGGCUUCCAUAGCCUAGACAGCUCAUAGCAAGAGUUUCGGGUGAUUGCUGACGUCAUAAAUAAGAAUGCCAAUUGUUAAAUCAACAACAGAAGUCACUGGGUACAUGCUCCCCACGUAGGAUCUCUGUCCUUAAUGUGUUCUACUAUGAAACUUAAAAACAACACUACUAGUCCAACAAUACCCUAUACCUUGUGCGGUUGUGUCAGUGCAGCCUGUUGAAAUCCUUGCUUAGUAUGUACUAAGUUGAUCUUCAGUAUAUGAAGAAACUGUUGUGUGUCUGCUUUGGUGUGAUGAACACCCUACUGCUUCAUGAAGUUUGAGCGGCACUAAUAGCUCAAGCCCAGAGCCCCCAGAACAUCCAACAGGUUUUUCCAUUCACCACCCUUAUCAGUUGCCGGACUCUCGAGGCUACUCAGUUUUGGACCAUGAACCUUCAAACUAGUGACAGAGAGGAAGAGCAAAGAGGUCUUCCAUCUGCUGAAUUACUCCCCAGUAGGAUACAAUAGCCAAGUCUGGGCUAGGCUGAAGUCAGGAGCCAGUCUUCCACAUGGGUGGCAGGUGCCCAUGGACAUGGAUCAUCAUCUGCUGCCCUCCCAAGAACUUUGAGCAAGGAGCUGGAUCAGAAGACAAGCAGCCAGGAUUUGACUUGGCACUCAGUUUUGGGGUUCUGGCUUAAAUCACUGUGCCUAUAGUGUAAGUGUAAACUCUUUUUAUAGCACCUGAAAUUUAAGAUCAUUCUGACAUAAGACAACUCCCCACUCAGUAAACAUACCUGACACACUGCAAGAAUCUACUGCUUCUCCUUGGACACAGUGUCCUAUACCUAUCACACGUAUCAGGUCAAAAUUGGUUGACAGUGGGUUUUUUUGUUUGUUUGUUUUCUUUUUUUUAACCAAUGGAAAUAAUUUUUAUCUCUCCUGCCUUGCUACCUCCAUGAAUGUAACUACUCAUAGUGUGAACGAACCCACAAAGCCCAGGUUUACUGCUUCUAUUCAUUUUGCCAGUUUUUGGCUAGUUCUAUCAAUUUCUACCAUAAUUGUAGAAUUUCUUUUUUAAUAUUGUUGUUUUUGAUUCACGUGUAUUAUUUAAGCAUUGUUAUUAGAUGCAUACACAUCUAUGAUUGCUUUCUAUUUCUGACUCAGCCUUAUUAACAACACCCCCUUUCUGUGGUAAUACAUAUUAACUUAAACUCUGUUAAUUAGAUUACUCCUGCUUUGUUAUGUUUGCUCUUUCCUUUUUUGCAAGGCAUC